rnacentral:rRNA from 1 species
UYCCCCYKKUUUUUAAAAAACAUGUYUUUUUGGAAAUAAUUUAAAGUYUAAUYUGCCCMCUGAUAAAUAUAUUAAAGGGSUGCAGUAUUUUGACUGUACAAAGGUAGCAUAAUCAUUAGUYUYUUAAUUGGUGACUUGUAUGAAAGAUUGGAUGAAAUAUAAACUGUYUYUAAUUAAUUUAUAAAAUUUAAUUUUUUAGUAAAAAAGCUAAAAUAAUUUUAAAAGACGAGAAGACCCUAUAGAGUUUUAUAAUUUAUUUGAUUAUUAUUAAUAUGUAAAUUUUAAAAUUAAAAUUAAAUAAAUUAUUUUGUUGGGGKGACAGAAAAAUUAAAUUAACUUUUUUAAAUAAUUAACAUUAAUUUAUGAAUAAAUGAUCCAUUAAUAUUGAUUAAAAGAAAAAAUUACCUUAGGGAUAACAGCGUAAUUUUUUUUUUUAGUUCAAAUAGGAAAAAAAGUUUGCGACCUCGAUGUUGGAUUAAGAUAAAAUUUAAAUGCAAAAGUUAAAAUUUGAUCGUCGAGRGGMGC